AACGUAGGAGACAAACGUUAUCCGGAGUUACUGGGCGUAAAGGGCGUGUAGGUGGUUUCGUAAGUCUGGCGUGAAAUUUUUCGGCGUUAACCCGGGAAAGGUCGUCGGAUACUGCGGAACUAGAGGACGGUAGAGGCGUGUGGAAUUCCGGGUGUAGUGGUGAAAUGCGUAGAGAUCCGGAGGAACACCAGUGGCGAAGGCGACACGCUGGGCCGUACCUGCACUGAUGCGCGGACAGCGUGGGAGCAAACAGGG
rnacentral:rRNA from 1 species